GCUUGCUGCUUUGCUGACGAGUGGCGGACGGGUGAGUAAUGUCUGGGAAACUGCCUGAUGGAGGGGGAUAACUACUGGAAACGGUAGCUAAUACCGCAUAACGUCGCAAGACCAAAGAGGGGGACCUUAGGGCCUCUUGCCAUCGGAUGUGCCCAGAUGGGAUUAGCUAGUAGGUGGGGUAACGGCUCACCUAGGCGACGAUCCCUAGCUGGUCUGAGAGGAUGACCAGCCACACUGGAACUGAGACACGGUCCAGACUCCUACGGGAGGCAGCAGUGGGGAAUAUUGCACAAUGGGCGCAAGCCUGAUGCAGCCAUGCCGCGUGUAUGAAGAAGGCCUUCGGGUUGUAAAGUACUUUCAGCGGGGAGGAAGGGAGUAAAGUUAAUACCUUUGCUCAUUGACGUUACCCGCAGAAGAAGCACCGGCUAACUCCGUGCCAGCAGCCGCGGUAAUACGGAGGGUGCAAGCGUUAAUCGG
rnacentral:rRNA from 1 species